UACCAAUGCUUUCCUUAUCUAUUUUUCCCAGCUUGCCAUUUCGUGCAGUAGAGGUUCUGUCAUGUGAUAUUACUCUGCACAGAGGGAAGUUGGAGAGCCCUGCAUGCUGCUUUACUCCACUGGACACUACUGAAGAAAUACUGCAUGGUGGAACUUGGGAUGGAAUGGUACUCGUGUAGCUCACUAGAAGAUCAU
rnacentral:lncRNA from 12 species